rnacentral:rRNA from 1 species
CCAGACUCCUACGGGAGGCAGCAGUGGGGAAUAUUGCACAAUGGGCGGAAGCCUGAUGCAGCAACGCCGCGUGCGGGAUGACGGCCUUCGGGUUGUAAACCGCUUUCGCCUGUGACGAAGCGUGAGUGACGGUAGUGGGUAAAGAAGCACCGGCUAACUACGUGCCAGCAGCCGCGGUGAUACGUAGGGUGCGAGCGUUGUCCGGAUUUAUUGGGCGUAAAGGGCUCGUAGGUGGUUGAUCGCGUCGGAAGUGUAAUCUUGGGGCUUAACCCUGAGCGUGCUUUCGAUACGGGUUGACUUGAGGAAGGUAGGGGAGAAUGGAAUUCCUGGUGGAGCGGUGGAAUGCGCAGAUAUCAGGAGGAACACCAGUGGCGAAGGCGGUUCUCUGGGCCUUUCCUGACGCUGAGGAGCGAAAGCGUGGGGAGCGAACAGGCUUAGAUACCCUGGUAGUCCACGCUGUAAACGGUGGGUACUAGGUGUGGGGUCCAUUCCACGGGUUCCGUGCCGUAGCUAACGCUUUAAGUACCCCGCCUGGGGAGUACGGCCGCAAGGCUAAAACUCAAAGGAAUUGACGGGGGCCCGCACAAG